UUCCUCCGUAUCCCCAUCAGCCGUAUUUCCCAACAUCAGCCCCCACUACCUCACCUAAACACACAAAUUCCCCUCAACCUGCCACCCAAGCCCUGCAUAUGCCACCUAAAGGAUACCCCCAGGUCCCACAAAUGCCUGACUUCAAAAUGUUUUACCCGUACCAUUUUACUACACAUCUCCCUCAACCUUAUUUCCCAUCAGCCUCUACAACCACACCUAAACAAACAAAUCAGGCCCUGCAUAUGCCACCUAAAGGAUACCCUCAGGUCCCACUGAGUUACCAGUUCCCCCAAUACAAUUUCCCAGGGUUUUUCCCUCAACGCUCUGUCCCAAGAGCACCCCCCGGGAUAGCCAGCCAACUGGAUAACCAGAAUAACCCCCAGAAAUAUCAUUACUCAGAUUCCUCCUACCGUCAAAAGUCAGCCACUCCUUCAGUAACUGCUAGCACUAUCCCUGGCACCACACCCCAGGCCCAACCCAAGCAGCCCUUCAUGCAAUAUGACCAGUACCCGAUGGUUCGCAGCUGGAAUCCGUAUGCUUCUGCUCUGUUCCCACCCCAUUAUGGAACGGCGCCGUAUCAUUCUCAAGGGCCUAGGGAGUAACUUAUGGUGGAAUCUACAGUUUCCAGCCAUUACUUGUGAAGUGUAAAAUAAAUUUACUAAAUGUA